rnacentral:lncRNA from 1 species
AUGCCAAAUUUUUGGGGUCCUGGAACCAGUCCCUCACAAACACCAAAGAAUGACUCUAUACUCCAGGCUGUGGAUCAUCUUGUCAGGGGUUUCUCCCAUCUAAUAAAAUAUGAAGACCCUCUCCACCUUUUGGAGGACAAUGUUGGUAUCUUGGAGUUUGAUAUCACCAUGUCGAAACCAAUACACUAACUUGUAAGAGCCAAAAGUUUAUUUACUCUACCUACUGUUGAAAUUUUAUCAUAAAAACUGACAUUCUUUGGGAAAAUGAUUAUAAAAGCCACACGUUAUAACAUCUAUUCAGUUGUAAUUUAAAAAUACCUGACUUUUCAGCCAUUUGCAGUGGUUCACGCCUGUAACCCCAGCACUUUGGGAGGCUGAGGCAGGUGGACCACUUGAGGUCCGGAGUUUGAGACCAGCCUGUC